GAUGAAGAACGUAGCGAAAUGCGAUACGUAAUGUGAAUUGCAAAUUCAGUGAAUCAUCGAAUCUUUGAACGCACAUUGCGCCCGGUAGUAUUCUGCCGGGCAUGCCUGUUCGAGCGUCAUUUCAACCAUCAAGCCCCAGCGCUUGUGUUGGGGGCCUGCGGCUGCCGCAGCCCCCUAAAAGCAGUGGCGGGCUCGCUAUCACACCGAGUGCAGUAGUUCAUCUUCUCUCCGGUCUUGUGAGGCGGGUUCCGGCCGUGAAACACCCCACUACAUUCAAGGUUGACCUCGGAUCAGGUAGGAAUACCCGCUGAACUUAAGCAUAUCAAUAAGCGGAGGA
rnacentral:misc_RNA from 1 species